GACGAACGCUGGCGGCGUGCUUAACACAUGCAAGUCGAACGGAAAGGCCCUGCUUUUGUGGGGUGCUCGAGUGGCGAACGGGUGAGUAACACGUGAGUAACCUGCCCUUGACUUUGGGAUAACUUCAGGAAACUGGGGCUAAUACCGGAUAGGAGCUCCUGCUGCAUGGUGGGGGUUGGAAAGUUUCGGCGGUUGGGGAUGGACUCGCGGCUUAUCAGCUUGUUGGUGGGGUAGUGGCUUACCAAGGCUUUGACGGGUAGCCGGCCUGAGAGGGUGACCGGCCACAGUGGGACUGAGAUACGGCCCAGACGCCUACGGGAGGCAGCAGUGGGAAUAUUGCACAAUGGGCGGAAGCCUGAUGCAGCAACGCCGCGUGCGGGAUGACGGCCUUCGGGUUGUAAACCGCUUUCGCCUGUGACGAAGCGUGAGUGACGGUAAUGGGUAAAGAAGCACCGGCUAACUACGUG
rnacentral:rRNA from 1 species